UGGGGAAUAUUGCACAAUGGGCGAAAGCCUGAUGCAGCAACGCCGCGUGCGGGAUGACGGCCUUCGGGUUGUAAACCGCUUUCAGCAGGGACGAAGGUUUUCUGACGGUACCUGCAGAAGAAGCACCGGCUAACUACGUGCCAGCAGCCGCGGUGAUACGUAGGGUGCGAGCGUUGUCCGGAAUUAUUGGGCGUAAAGAGCUUGUAGGCGGUCCGUUGCGUCGGAAGUGAAAACUCAGGGCUUAACCCCUGAGCCUGCUUUCGAUACGGGCGGACUUGAGGGAUGUAGGGGAGAACGGAAUUCCUGGUGGAGCGGUGGAAUGCGCAGAUAUCAGGAGGAACACCAGUGGCGAAGGCGGUUCUCUGGACAUUUCCUGACGCUGAGAAGCGAAAGCGUGGGGAGCAAACAGGCUUAGAUACCCUGGUAGUCCACGCCGUAAACGGUGGCANUAGGUGUGGGACCCAUUCCACGGGUUCCGUGCCGUAGCUAACGCAUUAAGUGCCCCGCCU
rnacentral:rRNA from 1 species